AUGGUGGAGUUUAGGAGCUUGUUGUGAUCAUCAAUGGUAUAUAAUCGGAGGUGAUGGUCUAAAUACAUUUAUAUAUGAGCAAUGUUCUUCAUGUCAGCUGAUCUAUUAGCUACUCAAUGCCUCCUUUUAUACUCUUCUAUCUAUUAUGAAUAUGCUUGUUCCUUAGUCCAAUUCAUGGUUAGACAACAUAGCUUUCUUUAAGUAAUCAUGGUGAUUAGAUCUAGUAAGUUGAUCCUUCUUGGUAGCUAGACACGUUUACCUUGUGAUCGUGCCCUUAAUCUACCUAUGUUGAUAGAGAGGAUCGUGAGGGGGUCUUUCUUGUGUAAGGUGGGGGGUUUCGGUAGGUUGACCGGAGGUAGUAGUUUAAAGAUUGCUUUGGAUGAGAUGCAUGUUGUGCUUGCUUAUUAGCUAGAACUACAGCUAGAAGACGAUAGGCUCUUUGCUACCCUUGGUGGUGUUAUCAUAUAUAUCUGUCGAUGAGAUGUACAUUUACUCAUGCUAUUAAUCUUUACAUCAAGUUUGCUCUCAUAUGCAGUCUAUGCUUCAUUCUAGGAUUAGAUCCGUUGAGCUAGAUAGACAAUCCUAAUCAGUUUGCUGCCGAUCCACAGAUUGAUAAACCUUGGAUGGAAUACUCUAAGAGAAAAGCUACGAUGAUCC
rnacentral:lncRNA from 1 species